rnacentral:piRNA from 1 species
UAGAUAUAGGAAGUCUAGAGGAUGAUGA